CUUGCAAAGGGCACGAUGGCGUUUCUUUAAUACACUUGCAUAAUCCACCCUCCUGGAAAACAAAUCCUUAAGCCAGUUGGCGUAAGGAUCUGGGCACAAUCUAGCCCAGACACUGCCGUCUCCGAGGUGCAAAGAGCAGCUCUGAAGACUUCACCAUGAGUUGCAGGAGGACCCAUCUGCUAUUAAAGUUAAACUCUGGAAUUCUGGUCUGGAAUCAUCUGUGCUGGUCAUCAAGAUGGGGUCAAGUUACUUGGAGAGAACAGGCUUCCAGGAGAGCUAACCAACCCGGGUCCAGAUGUGACUCCAAUGCUGACAUUGAACUAAUUUCUGCCAGGAUCAAAGAGGCCCACCGAGUCUGCCUCGAUCCUACGGUUAAACCCGCAACGCAGCAUCUGCACUGGAUGCUUACGGACCGCCAAGGAAGGAGGGGGGAUGCGCAGUUACCUUUCUGUCCACCGUGGAUCCCUGCCCGAACUAAAUAGUUUGAAGCCUGAGAUGGAUUCCUGAUACAAUUUACCAGCUUGCGUUUAUACUUCUCAAACGUUGGUGUCAUGUCCAUUUUACAGAUCUGAACCCAGGGUUUAAUAGUUGUGAGAAACAAUGUUCAUAAAAGACCUCCAAUACGGAUGCCUUGAAAAUCCAGGGUCUGUGAGAAAAUAACACCCCUCCUGAAGUUUAUUCCUGCACAAAUGCAACAUAAAUGAAGAGAAGUCCAACGAGGGGCCUCCAAAUUGAGGAA